UUAAUGAUGAGGGAUGGAAACCACAAGCCAAGUGAGUGGAUGGAGAGAGUGGGUGUCCUGUCGGGCUGAGUGGAUGGAGAAUGGGGUGCCCGUCAGCUGAUGAGUGGACGGAGAGAAUGUGGGGUGUCCCGUCAGCUGAUGAGCGGACGGAGAGAAUGCGGGGUGUCCCGUCGGCUGAGUGGAUGGAGAGAAUGCGGGGUGUCCCGUCGGCUGAGUGGAUGGAGAGAAAGUGGGGUGUCCCGUCGGCUGAGUGGAUGGAGAGAACGUGGUGUGUACACGCCGUGGAACACUUCCCAAACUCAACUGCAGAAAAGAAUGAGAGAAUUUCUGUCGCAGCAGCUUGGAUGGAGCGGGAGGCCACUCUUCUAAGUGAAGUAACUCAGGAAUGGAAAACAAGGAGCACGUGUUCUCACUUAUAA
rnacentral:lncRNA from 1 species